rnacentral:rRNA from 1 species
AGUAAAGUGGCGUACGGGUGAGUAACACGUGGAUAAUCUACCCUGGAGUGGGGAAUAACGCUGGGAAACCGGCGCUAAUACCGCAUAAUCCCGAGAGGGCAAAGGAGCAAUUCGCUUCAGGAGGAGUCCGCGGCCGAUUAGCUUGUUGGUAGGGUAAUGGCCUACCAAGGCAAUGAUCGGUAGCCGGCCUGAGAGGGCACACGGCCACACUGGCACUGAAACACGGGCCAG